AAUCAAUGGUUAUUUAAUUUCAAUAAAAUGUGACAAAGUACAAAAAGUUGCAAAUACCAGCCAUCAUUGGAAAAUACGCUCCUGUUGUUUCCUUUUAUACAAAAUUCUGGGGUUAAAAUGAAACUCUGCCAUUUAUGUUUCCAGCGGGCCCAGUCAUCAGGGGAUGAUCUUGAUAUAUCAGACCAGUGUGAAACCAACGAAGAGAAUCCAUAUCAACCCACCAAUCUCUGCACCCCACUGCGGCGCGAUCUGAUUGGACAUCACAGUGUUGUGAUUGCUGCUGAUUGGUUGAACUUCGGUGGUCAGGUGAUAACCGCAUCAUGGGAUAGAACUGCAAUCUUGUUUGACGCAGAAACGGGGAUAACCUUGACUGUUCUCAAAGACCAGUAACAACGACAGCCUUUGCUGAGAAUGAGAAGGUGGUUUCGGGCAGUGAUGAUCGUACCGUGAAAGUCUGGGAUAUGAAGAGCAUGCGGUCACCCAUAGCCAGCAUCCGUACGGACUCAUGUGUGAACAGACUGUGUGUUUCUCCGUCAUAGAACAUGACUUCCAUCCCACACGAUAACAUACACAUAAGGCUAUUUGACAUCAAUGGAAACAGAAUAGGAAUACUUCCGCGGAGCAGCAGAACUGCCAUCGCUGGUUUGCAGGGCCACUCAAAAAUGGUGUGCAGUGUAGCCUGGGCCGAGGGUAAUCCAGUGUGUAACCUGUUCUCGUGCGGCUUCGACAGACAGGUCCUGGGUUGGAACAUCAAUGCUCAGAUCAAGGAAUGAAAAGAGUCAGCCAUGGGUCAUUAUGAAGAAACAUUCGAGAUCUUUUGGACAUCUUAGCUUAAUGCAUGUAUAUAAAGUUUCGUCCCAGUUCAGCCAUUGAAGUCCCCCUUAAAAAAUUGUGAUAAAAGUUUUAAGAGUCGUCCCUGUUUAACCUGUAUGGACUUCGCAGUCUAAUAUGGUACGAUACAUAAUGCACAUGCCCAGUUUUCAAUGAAAAAGGCCCAUAUUAUCUGAUUAAAUAAAAUUGUUCUUGUUCUUUAUACAUUUUAGUCCAUGCUUACAUGGAAGAGUGUGUGUUGAAUACCAAACUAUGAAAUGAAUUGUUUUCUGUCAUUGUUUGUAACCAAAUUAUAGGUAGUAAAUAACUAAUAUUUUUAGAGUUUUGUUGUCAAUUUUAAAUGUUAAUGUUAUAGGUAUUGAGUUGUAUAAAAUGUAUAAAUACAUAACAGUGUUAAUCAGUAAUGAUGGUGGAUAUUAUAUUGAAUUGUUAAUAAUAAUGUUAUUAGUUCGUUUGAAAAAAUUUAUUGCAAAUGCCAGAAACAAAUAUUGAAUGUGAGGAAUAACAUUUUAUGCACAAAUAUAUUCGAGUACUGCAUGAUUAAUACAUAGAAAAUACUGAUUAAAUUUGUUAAGCAAAGCUCAGUACAACUCAAGCACCAGUCUAAGUUCAAACUUAUUUAUUUAAGCUGGAUUGAAUCCAAAGCCUAAAGCUUAUAUAAAACGCCAUCAAGGAUGUUUUCUGGGUAUAACCAGUACAUGUUGUCUUUGGAAAAGGCCUGAAGAAUGCUCCCACAAUGGGGAUCAAACACGUGAGCCUUGUCGAGUGGUUCAGGUUUCAGUGCCAUAAUGCCGAGCCAAUAAUCUCAUCUCUAGUCAAUCCCUACCUGGUAUUUUAUUUAUCCCAUCAUUUUGAAACGUCCUGUCUUUUAAUUAUUAUGUUGAUUUAUUAAAAAAGCCAAUCCAUACAACUGCAAAUAUGACCUUAAGGUGUCUGAAUUUGUCUGCUAGGUCCAACAUUUUCAUCCUUUGUCUGUACUUAAUCUGACUUGGUGUUUGUUUAAAUACUCUUUAUUUGUGCAAUAUGGAAUCGUUGCUUGUUGUAUUAGUUUCCAGUGGUGUCGCAAUAUCAAUUGUUUGUUUUACCCAUUCCCAGCUAUCCCAGAAUAGUGCUGACUAAUGCCAAAUAAAAAAGAUAAUUACCGGUAUUGCAUCCAUAUUUGAUGUUAAUCAUGGAUGCUGAUUAAUACAGUUAUGAAUUUCAUUUGUGAAUAUUUUCGCGGAUGGAAAAUGUAUGUAAGUGUAUAUAAUAUACUUUAUAAAGAUAAUAAAUUUAUACAUGU